rnacentral:rRNA from 1 species
GACGAACGCUGGCGGCGUGCUUAACACAUGCAAGUCGAACGAAGAGCGACGGAAGCUUGCUUCUAUCAAUCUUAGUGGCGAACGGGUGAGUAACGCGUAAUCAACCUGCCCUUCAGAGGGGGACAACAGUUGGAAACGACUGCUAAUACCGCAUACGAUCUAAUCUCGGCAUCGAGGAUAGAUGAAAGGUGGCCUCUACAUGUAAGCUAUCACUGAAGGAGGGGAUUGCGUCUGAUUAGCUAGUUGGAGGGGUAACGGCCCACCAAGGCGAUGAUCAGUAGCCGGUCUGAGAGGAUGAACGGCCACAUUGGGACUGAGACACGGCCCAGACUCCUACGGGAGGCAGCAGUGGGGAAUCUUCCGCAAUGGACGAAAGUCUGACGGAGCAACGCCGCGUGAGUGAUGACGGCCUUCGGGUUGUAAAGCUCUGUUAAUCGGGACGAAAGGCCUUCUUGCGAAUAGUGAGAA